AUACUUUUCUAAUAAUCUUGGCUUAAUGCAAGGGGAAGUUCUUUCUCCUAUUUUAUUUUCAUUUUAUGUCAAUGACUUUGAGAAUGAAUUUAUUAAUAAUGGUAACUGUGGACUUGAAUUUCAGGACAUAACACUUUUUUUAUUAAUGUAUGCUGAUGAUAUGAUUUUGAUGUCAGAAUCAAUCCAAGGCUUACAAAAUAUGUUAAAUACUUUAUCUGGUUAUACUGAGAAAUGGGGUCUUUCAGUUAACACAAAAAAAACAAAGAUAGUAGUUUUUCGUAAAGGUGGGAAAAUUAGUCUUACUGAGACAUGGAUUUAUAAUGGUAAACCAUUAGAUAUUGUAGAUCAUUUUUGUUAUCUGGGUGUGUUAUUUCAUUAUAAUUGUAAAUUUUAUAUUACUCAAAACCACUGUGCUGAACAAGGCAGGAAAGCUAUGUUUAGUAUGAGGAAAAAGGCAUUAUCCUUAUACCUGAACACUGUUACUUCUAUAAGUUUAUUUGACACUUAUGUAUGUAGUAUUUUAAUGUAUGGUUGUGAAGUUUGGGGUGUUCAUAGAGCACCAAAUGUAGAAAAAGUUCAUUUGGACUAUUGUAAAACAUUACUAGGUGUCAAGAGGUCCACUUCUAAUGUAAUGGUAUAUUAUGAAUUAGGAAGAUUUCCAUUGUUAUAUGAGCGAAAUUUUAGGAUGCUCAAAUUAUGGACUAAAAUUCACGGUAGUGAAAAUUGUAUUAUAAAGUCUUGUUACAAAGAACUAGUAGCAAAUAGCAAUAAAUGUAAAAACUGGGC
rnacentral:lncRNA from 1 species